rnacentral:rRNA from 1 species
UACGUAGGGUGCGAGUGUUAAUCGGAAUUACUGGGCGUAAAGCGUGCGCAGGCGGUUUUGUAAGCCAGAUGUGAAAGCCCCGGGCUUAACCUGGGAAUGGCAUUUGGGACUGCAAGGCUAGAGUGUGGCAGAGGAGACUGGAAUUCCUGGUGUAGCAGUGAAAUGCGUAGAUAUCAGGAGGAAUACCGAUGGCGAAGGCAGGUCUCUGGGUUAACACUGACGCUCAUGCACGAAAGCGUGGGCAGCAACAGG